rnacentral:lncRNA from 1 species
ACCUGCACAUUGUCACGGGAACAAACCAUCCCCACAGGGACUGGCAUUUGUAAGCCAUUGUCAUACAUGCUUGGCACGUUAGAAAUCCAGAGGGCAGAAUGCCUCCCUCUCUCCACUACAAAUAAAGGUAGCCAGGCAGGUCAGAGUUAAUGAACAACAUACCAUGAUGUCUUCUUUAACAAAUCCCUGGCAACUAAGCUUCCUCACCACAAACAAAUGAACAAGUGCCAUUCAGCAGCCACUCCAAGCUGGUGUUAGGUCAGUGCCCGGCCAGAGGUUCACGAUAUCUAUGGAAAGCAGGUUGCAAUGGCUCGGGCGGGAGAGUGUAAUUGAUGGACAAACUCAAGCACUCAAAGGCCACCCAUUUGCUUCCCACCUCAAACCUCUUAGCCAGUGAUACAGAGAGAAGAAGAGGAGGAAGAGACACCUCAGGGAGAGGGACACUGUGUCGGUUUCCUGUGGCUGCUGUAACAAAUUCGCACAGACUGAGAGCCUUCGAACAGCAGGCAUGGAUCCUCUCACGGCUCUGGAGGCCAGAAGCCCAGGAUCAAGGUGUCAGCGAGGAUGCCAGCCUUUGGACUGAAGUCCCACCCUAUGACCUCGCCUUAAUUUGAUUACGUCUGCAAAGAUGCUAUUCCAGAAUAAGGUCACAUUUACAGUUGCUGGGGGUAUGAUCGCUUGGAGAACACAGUUCAAACCCCUGCAGACACAAAUUCAUGCCUGCCCACCAGCUCGAGCCCCAGACACUGCUUUCAGGGGAGCCCAUGCCAAGGCAGCAGCUUGGUGACGCAAGGUGAGCUGAAGGAGAGCCGCUUGGGUGAGGAUUAUGAAGGCACGGGUGCCAUGGAAACCACUCUGAAGGCCCCCUAAAGCUGCAGCUGUCAGGAGGGGCUGUCUGCUGCCAUUGGUCGGCCACGUGGACCCUCUCCCUAACACGAUGCGUGACUUUUAUUUAUUUUACUCUGUUUUGCAUCUUAUGCCUGCUCUCGGCUUCUCUUGGCUUCCUCACAGUCCUGGUGCAGGAUGCUGCCUGCAGGUCAGUAGGAUAAAGGUGCUAAUGUUUUCUGUUUCUCUUUUUUGAACUUCUGACUUUUUAGGCUCAUUUUCUGGUGCUCUCUCCUCCAUGCCAUAAGGCAGCACAGAUUUCAAGCCAUAGAUGUUGGAGGCAGAAAAUGGGAUUAUGUUAGACAGAGAGGGAAGCCAGCUCUUCUAGCAGGUGCUGUAGAAAUGGCUUCUGAUUUUGGUCACAGAAGCAGUCCCUAACUUUCCCUGCAAAUCCAAGAAGCCCUCAAAGGGGCCAAAGGCAGGCUCUUUAGCACAAUGUCAAUCUGAGCAGAAUGGAAGGGUUGCCAGAGGUUGCUAGUGAGAUUCAAAGCCCUGUGGGUGCCUUGAUCUUCCUAAGCUUGCUUUUAGAGAAGUGUGCUGUCGAAACUUCAGGAGGCCGCCAGCUUCUGGUUGGACCUCAACCUCCUCCUCCCUCAACCUCCUCCUCCCUUUGAGUAGGAAUCAGAAGAAUCUUUUACAUUAGCCUUUGCCUUGAUAGUUUUUAUAUCCUUCAUUUUAUUUCUUUCCAGCAAUGGCCCUGAGAAAUUGGCAGGCGAAGUGCCAUUAACCCUGCAUUGGAGAGGAGGAAAUUGAGACCCAAUUUUUUUUUUUUUUUUUUGAGACAGAGUCUCGCUUUGUCACCCAGGCUGGAGUGCAGUGGUGCGAUCUCAGCUCGCUGAAAUCUCCACCUUUCUGGUUCAAGUGAUUCUCAUGCCUCAACCUUCCGAGUAGCUGGGAUUACAGGCGUGUGCCACCAUGCCUGGCUAAUUUUUGUAUUUUUAGUAGAGACAGGGUUUCACCAUGUUGACCAGGCUGGACUUGAACUCCUGACCUCAAGCGAUCCACCUGCCUUAGCCUCCCAAAGUGCUGGGAUUAUAGUCGUGAGCCACUGUUUCCAACUGAGACCCAAUAAUUUAAGUAGAAGGGCUGGGACUGGGGCCUGAGGCUGCUGCUCCCUGCCUAAGGCUCUGAGACUGCUUGAUCACAGGGUCAAGAUCUUUGAUGAAGCCGCUUUCUCAAGCUGUGGGUGGGCUUUUCCUGGUAGGAAAUUUGCCUGAGACCUGGCAAAGAUGGGACCUUUUAAAUAGUGAAGGGAAAUGAGCAAUCCUUCCAAAGUCAAGUUCCUCAACGAAGCCCUUCUAAACACUGUCUCUCCUCCCUGCACACAUGCCUAUGUGCACACAAUACACAUGCUUGUUCAUGCUUUAUCCCUCUUGGUUAGGGGUCUAUCCCCAUCAAGCCAUUAAAGUUGUUCUGGUGGAAUCUCUGAUGACACAUUUUUUUUUUGGCUUGUGAAAACCAACCAUUUUGUUAUUUCAUGAGUUUAUGAGUUGACUGGGCUCAGCUGGGAGGUUCUUCUGGAUGGGGCUUCAGUCAUAAACAAACAUGACUAAGUCAGAGUCCCCAAGAUGUAUCACUCACAUCUGGCAUUUGAUGCUGACUCACUCUGGGCUGGC